AUUUCAAACACAUUUUUGAAAUGUUUAUAUCUUCUAAGUGCAAAUUCGGUCUGUUUUUGAAGCACACAAGUAUUUAUAACCCUAAGACUAGUGUGUUAUAUAAUUCAGAUUUCACAGGGACUUGAACUGUGGUGCUCACAUCUGUCAUGUCUUAUUACUUUGCACUUAAAUAAACAGAAGCAAGUUGCUGUGUGGCAUGAAAUGGUGCAGACUAAAAAUGCGAUUCAAACUGAAUGUUAUGUCAGGGUCGCAGGUUAAACUGUGAUCGCACCUUAAAUCUCUGCUUUUCUCUGUUUGCCAGUCCAGCGCUGCUUUAGUGUGAACCAUCGCACCUUUUCUCUUCUGCACUCCCAGCUGUUGUUUACUGCUGAGCUGAAGUCAGUGUACCUGCAAGAGCAUCACAGCACUCGUAAUAACCCCGCUGCUGUUUUACACAUCCUCCGCUAUGAUCUGACUGUCAAAAGUGCCAAAGUCUGGAUCGGCAAGUCAAGGAGAGAAAUGCACAGCAUCCCUUCACUGCAUUCACACCUUUCUCGCCGUGUUGGACUCUCCAGCGUUGGCGUCUCUGCUCCUGGGCUCUGAAAUGCCCACUGCCGCUGCUCAGGACAUCAGUCAAUGUUCUCAGGCAGAAGAGGCCCAGAGGUGCCAGAGAGGAAGACAAAAAUAGGCCUGCCCAUCUAUCUGUCUAUGACCAUCGAUCCUCAGUGGCUCAGCCUGGACUUAUGAGAGCACUAGAACCAUCUGCAAAACAGCAGCAGCAGAACAGAAAGUCCCCGUCUCUCGGUUUGUGUCUUUGUUUUUGCUGGAGUGCCGAGGUGAGAGUGGAGCACAUGCUGGGCUGCUCCAUCAGAACUGCGCUGAUAGUUUUUUGGGGAAACACAGCGAGACGUCUGAGGAAAAUGGCAAAAACAACAACACAAAAAUAACGUUGGCUUGACGAGACAUUGAAAAAUAUCCCAGCAGAUGCUAAUUUGUGAGAACAAAAUGCACUGUAAAAAAUAAAAAGUUGAGUAAACUUAAAAUUUUAAAGCAACCGGCUGCAAAGAAAUUUUGAGUUUACUCAACUUCAGUGGUUGAAGUUGUGCCAAAUUAUUUUUUUAAGUUGACUGAAAUGGCUGGUUUAAGUCAUGACAACUU